rnacentral:lncRNA from 1 species
CCCCUUUAGUUGGUUGUUUUACUUUAAUUUUUUGUACCUCAUGUACCCUAUAAAAGGGCUUCAAAUGUAUUUCCAAUAUUAUGCAAAUAAAGAAUACAAUUUUCCCUGUAAAUCAGUGGAAAUCAUUCGUGAGUUUGCAGUUCGUUAAUUUCAACCGACCUUCGAAGAUUUCUGCCGCACUGUCCGCGAUCGAUCAUUCUUCCCAAAAUUGGAAGUUAUAGCCACUCCGUUCGGAUCCAUUCCGCACUCUGCUACAUUGUAGCACCACCUUCGUCUCUUAUAUCAUUGAUCUUUUCCGAUCAGUUGAUCAGAGACAAAUCCUUCGGAUCAGGUUACUGUAAAUUUUACAAUUCUUAUUGCCUUGUCUCUAAAUCUUGAUCGUCAUACUCCGAUCAUAGAUCGGGGACUCUCGAAUCCGAGAAGGUCUCUGUGUUUAUUUCUUACGCACAAUUGAGUGUGUAACACCAAACUCAAACUUGACACAUACAGAAAAUAAGAAUUACUACAUAUCUCUAACUAGAUACAUUUCAAAUUCUGACUAUCUUACAUUAUAAGAAAACAAACGGUUGGUCGUCACUGAAAGUCUGUUUUCUUAUAGUGUUACUCUAACAUUUAUUUCAUAACCUAAUUAACUUACUAGAUACAUUUUGUAGCUUAACUAACUAACUAUAUACAUUUUGUAGUCUAACUAAUUAAUUGGAUACAUUUUAUAGCACUACUAGAAAAUUGUUCUACAGUUAUACAGAUUUUGGUUGUCGUUGAAAGUCUAUUUUUCUAUAGUGUGGCAUGAUUAACUAACUAGAUACAUUUUGUAGCUUAACUAACUAACUAUAUACAUUUUGUAGCCUAACUAACUAAUUAGAUAUAUUUUAUAGCAAUACUAAAAAAUUGUUCUACUAUUACAGAUUUUGGUUGUCGUUGAAAGUCUAUUUUUCUAUAGUGUGGCAUAAUUAACUAACUAUAUACAUUGUGUAACCUAACUAACUAAUUAUAUACAUUGUGCAACCUAACUAACUAAUUGGAUACAUUUUAUAACACUACUAGAAAAUUAUUCUACAAUGACAGAUUUUGAUCGUCGUUAAAAGUCUAUUUUUCUGUAGUGUAGCAUGAUUAACUAACUAGAUACAUUUUGUAGCCUAACUAACUAAUUGGAUACAUUUUAUAGCACUACUAAAAAAUUGUUCUACAAUGACAGAUUUGAUCGUCGUUGAAAGUCUAUUUUUCUAUAGUGUGGCCUGAGUAACUAACGAGAUACAUUUUGUAACCUAACUAAAUUGUUCUACAGUUACAGAUUUUAGUUGUCAUUUAAAGUCUAUUUUUCUUUAGUGUGGCAUAAUUAACUAACUAGAUACAUUUUGUAGUCUAACUAAUUAGAUACAUUUUAUAGCAUAACUAACUAAUUAGAUACAUUUUAUAGCACUACUAAAAAAUUGUUCUAUAAUUACAUAUUUUGAUCGCCG